rnacentral:rRNA from 1 species
AGCGAACGCUGGCGGCAGGCCUAACACAUGCAAGUCGAACGAACCUUUCGGGGUUAGUGGCGGACGGGUGAGUAACACGUGGGAACGUGCCUUUAGGUUCGGAAUAACUCAGGGAAACUUGUGCUAAUACCGAAUGUGCCCUUCGGGGGAAAGAUUUAUCGCCUUUAGAGCGGCCCGCGUCUGAUUAGCUAGUUGGUUGAGGUAAUGGCUCACCAAGGCGACGAUCAGUAGCUGGUCUGAGAGGAUGAUCAGCCACAUUGGGACUGAGACACGGCCCAAACUCCUACGGGAGGCAGCAGUGGGGAAUCUUGCGCAAUGGGCGAAAGCCUGACACAGCCAUGCCGCGUGAAUGAUGAAGGUCUUAGGAUUGUAAAAUUCUUUCACCGGGGACGAUAAUGACGGUACCCGGAGAAGAAGCCCCGGCUAACUUCGU